rnacentral:tRNA from 1 species
GUGGGUAUAGCACCAUGGUGGAGCACAUGCUUUGCAUGCAUGAGGUCCUGAGUUCAAUUCCCAGUACCUCCA